AUUGAACGCUGGCGGCAGGCCUAACACAUGCAAGUCGAACGAGUGGCGGACGGGUGAGUAAUGUCUGGGAAACUGCCUGAUGGAGGGGGAUAACUACUGGAACCGGUAGCUAAUACCGCAUACAUUCCGAUGUGCCCUGAUGGGAUUAGGUUGUUGGUGGGGGAACGGCUCACAAAGGCGACGAUCCCUAGCUGGUCUGCGAGGGUGACCGGCCACACUGGAACUGAGACACGGUCCAGACUCCUACGGGAGGCAGCAGUGGGGAAUAUUGCACAAUGGGCGCAAGCCUGAUGCAGCAAUGCCGCGUGUAUGAAGAAGGCCUUCGGGUUGUAAAGUCCUUUCAGCGGGGAGGCGUUACCCGCAGAAGAAGCACCGGCUAACUCCGUGCCAGCAGCCGCGGUAAUUC
rnacentral:rRNA from 1 species